UAAUGACGAUGAUGAUGAUGAUGAUGAUGAUGAUAACGAUGAUGAUGAUCAUCAUCAUCAUUAUCGUCGUCGUCGUUGUCAUCAUCAUCAUCACAA
rnacentral:pre_miRNA from 1 species